AACGUAGGAGACAAACGUUAUCCGGAGUUACUGGGCGUAAAGGGCGUGUAGGUGGUUUCGUAAGUCUGGCGUGAAAUUUCUCGGCUUAACCGAGGCAGGUCGUCGGAUACUGCGGAACUUGAGGACGGUAGAGGCGUGUGGAAUUCCGGGUAUAGUGGUGAAAUGCGUAGAGAUCCGGAGGAACACCAGUGGCGAAGGCGACACGCUGGGCCGUACCUGACACUGAUGCGCGACAGCAUGGGGAGCAAACAGGAUUAGAGUACCCCUG
rnacentral:rRNA from 1 species